AUACGGAGGGUGCAAGCGUUAUCCGGAAUCAUUGGGUUUAAAGGGUCCGUAGGCGGACUAUUAAGUCAGAGGUGAAAGCCCAUCGCUCAACGAUGGAACUGCCUUUGAUACUGGUUGACUUGAGUUAUACGGAAGUAGAUAGAAUAAGUAGUGUAGCGGUGAAAUGCAUAGAUAUUACUUAGAAUACCGAUUGCGAAGGCAGUCUACUACGUAUAUACUGACGCUGUGGGACGAAAGCGUGGGGAGCGAACAGGAUUAGAAACCCCAGUAGUCC
rnacentral:rRNA from 1 species